UUGUCAUGUGUGUGUUUUCGUGCUUGUGUGAGAGACGAACCCAGCAGAGCUCUGGUCCAGGCCCAGCCUCGGGAAGGAUCUCUGAUCAUUUGAAUUUCAUCGAUCACGGCCACUUCAUCUACAAAACAAUGGUAAACCAGCAGCUUUUUUUGAUGAGACACAUCCUGAGUGCUAGAGCUUGUUGGAGGAACAUCUUACGGAUCAUCUGCAUCGUCUUCUUUUCCUUUCGGCUUCUCCCAUUAAACAAUAUUCAACUCAUUUGGGAACAAAGCAGUAUUAAAACAAAAUAUAUGAGAAAAUGUGCAGCGGUAUGUACCUCGGCGAAAUUGUGCGGAACAUCCUCAUCGAUUUGACCAAGAGGGGCUUCCUCUUCAGAGGGCAGAUUUCAGAGACGCUGAAAACCAGAGGCAUCUUCGAAACAAAGUUCCUCUCUCAGAUUGAGAGUGACAGAUUGGCGUUACUGCAAGUGAGGUCCAUCUUGCAGCAUUUAGGCCUGGACAGCACUUGUGACGACAGCAUCAUUGUCAAAGAGCUUGUCCUGUUUGGGGGUCACCACAGCGUGUCAUCUUUUUCCAUCUAAGCCCAUCUCUUGCAUCUUCCUCUCAAACACCCACUGUCCUCAUGUCCUCCCUCACCACAUCCAUAAACCUUCUCUUUGGUCUUCCUCUCGCUCUUUUGCCUGGCAGCUCCAUCCUCGGCACCCUUCUACCAAUGUACUCGCUCUCUCGCCUCUGGACAUGUCCAAACCAUCGAAGUCUGCUCUCUCUAACCUUGUCUCCAAAACAUCCAACUUUGCCUGUCGCUCUAACGAGCCUAUUUUUAAUCCUAUCCAACCUGCUCACUCCGAGCGAGAACCUCAACAUCUUCAAUUCUGCCACCUCCAGUUCUGCUUCUUGUUGUUUCUUCAGUGGCACCGUCUCUAAUCCAUACAUCAUGGUCGGCCUCACAACUGUUUUAUAAACAUUUCCCUUCUUCCUAGCGGAAACUCUUCUGUCACAUAUAACACCAGACACCUUCCGCCAACUGUUCUACCCUGCUUGGACCCGAUCCUUCACCUCCUUACCACACUCACUACGGAUCAUCAGCAUCUGUUGAAAAAGAAUCGUACAUUUCCCAGCUGUGCAAGAUUAAAAGGGACGAACAUCAAAGACUUCUUAGUGAAAACCUUGUUCUAAAAUCUUCAUUAGACAGUUUGAGAAUAACACAAGAGACUUUCAAAGAUAGCUACAAAAAGAGAACUAUUAUAAAAGGUCUUCAGAGAUAGAAAACGUUCUUAAUACAUUGAAGAAUUCAUUCAAGUGAGUACACGUACAUGUAGAUCUUUAACAAAGUUUCGAAAGUUCAUUUUAGUCUUGACGAAACUGAGACGCAAUUUUCCUGAGCAGGACCUGGCGUACGGAUUUGACGUGUCUCAAGCAACUGUGUGCCCCGUGCAUUUUUGUCUGUUAUUCAUGUCAUCUACAACAGGCUGCAAAGGUUUAUUUACUGGCCAGAAAGAGAAAAAUUGAGAAUGUCAAUGCAGCUAGAAUUUAGAAAAAAAAUUUCCUGAAAAUUAUGCGUUAUUGACUGUUUUAAUCAAGAAGCCUUCAAAUUUCAAACCCUGCAGUCAAACGCGGUUCUUAUAAGCGCCGCAACACCGUCAAAUAUCUGAUUGGAUUUACUUCUUGGGGUUCAGUUUCAUUCAUUUCAAAAGGUUGGGGAGGUCGUGCAAGCGAUGGGAACGUUACUGAAAAUUGUGGCUGACUAAAACUUCUUCCAGGAGACACCGUGCUUGUCGAUCGUGGUUUUGACAUAAAAGAGAACGAUGGUUUGAUGUGUGCCGAGGUCAUAACAUCUGGAAUGAGACAACACGCAGUCUUGCACCUUUGAGAAUUCGUAUAGGGCAUGUUAGACUUUUAGUUAGAAAUAAAUACACUACCUUGUCUGGAACACUACCAAUAGAUUAUUUAUUAAAUCAAAAAUGGUAGCACCCCUGCAGUAGACAAAAUUGGAACCAUACGCUGCUGUUUGGGCAAUUUUUGUGCUUCGGAGGUACCUUAAGAUGGACAUAUGAUUUGGAAACUUUUUUUUUUUUAGCGUGUCUAAAUUGGGAGGUACAAAAGCGUAUUGCAUCCUGCCACACCCCAAAAAAAAAAAAAAAAGUCGUGUUUCACAUUAUAAUGUGAAUUAUUUCACAUUAUAAUGUGAAACGCAACUUUUUUUUGGGUGUGGCAGUAAUAUGCUUUCGUAGUUAGGAAUACAAGCUAAUUUUUCAACAGAUUUUUUUAUAUAUACAAGUACUGGUAUGGGUGACUGCCUGAAGAUCAUAUUUUGAUAUUCUUAUUUAAUGAAAUAUUUGUUGAAUACAGCGGCAUGGUGGAUCAGCUGUAAAGCGUUGGCCUCACAGUUCUAAGGUCUAGAGUUCGAUCUCGGCCCCACUCGUGUGGAGUUUGCAUGUUCUCCCCGUGGCUGUGUGGGUUUCCUCUGGGUACUCCGGUUUCCUCCCACAUCCCAAAAACAUGCAACAUUAAUUGGACACUCUAAAUUGCCCUGCGGUGUGAUUGUGGGUGCGGCUGUUUGUCUCCAUGUGCCCUGCGAUUGGCUGGUUGGUGACCAGUUCAGGGUGUACCCAGCCUCCUACCAAAAGAUAGCCGGGAUAGGU